CACACAUGUAAUGAUUUUAGUAAGGCGUGUUUGUUAAAACUAGUUUUAUUUCCUAAUUAAACUAAGGUCUAGUCCUGGCUUAAGCCAAUCCCUGUCUGGGAAACCACCCCUACAGGUCUAAACUCAGAGGCACCUCAACACAUUUUCCAGUUUGUUAGCUGGUCUAUGUUGGUCAACCAGCCUCCAAAUCCACUAGACUACAUUAAGCCGUGAUGUUCACCGCAGUAUUCAUGUGAUGAUCCUCAUGAUGGUGAGCAGUACAUUCAACUCUGACAGAUGCUGUGUGCUUCAUACCACUGGAGUCCCAAGCGUGUACAUCAAACAUCAUAUAUCCAUCAUGAAGAGUCACCGGUGUCUUCAGUGUUACACUUCCAUCUGUUCUCACACUGAACCGCUUGUCACGCGACUGAAAGACUGAUCUUGAUCUUACAUCACAGUGUUUUUCCUCUAUGAAGAUGAUCUCUGUUCACUUUAAACACAAACGACUCUGAAUCAAAUCCAGGUGUGCAUGACGACUCCUCUGCAAAUCCACAUGAAAAUACCUAAAAAACACACAUCAGUGAAAUAUUUGAUGUUAAUGUUAAAAAUAACAUGAACUAAGAUAAAUAAAUAAUGUUGUAGAAUUGUUGUUCAUUGUUAGUUUAUGCAUUAAGUGUUAACAAA